rnacentral:tmRNA from 1 species
GGGGAUGUAAAGGUUUCGACAGGUUUCAGUUUGAUUCAGGCUGCAGUGGAGUUGUGACCAUAUCACAGACAAAUUUAAACGCAACAAAUACCAACAGAAGCGCAAGCUUCGCAUUCGCUGCCUAAGGGACUCGAGGUCCUGCAGUGAACCCGGUCUGUAUAUUCUCCGUUUGAUACAGGCUGCGUAGGUAAACGGAUAAGGUGAACCCGAUUCCUGUAGGCGGAACCCGAAAAGAAUACAGGAAAAUUCAGCAGAUUGUUCGCUCAUUGUCGUGUCUGCUGUCUUAUCAGACAGUGAGAUAAACUGUAGACGCCUGAAUGUGGGGCUACUCUUGGACAGGGGUUCGACUCCCCUCAUCUCCAUCA